rnacentral:rRNA from 1 species
UUAAUUGAAGAGUUUGAUCAUGGCUCAGAUUGAACGCUGGCGGCAGGCCUAACACAUGCAAGUCGAGCGGCAGCGACAUGAUAGAAGCUUCGGUGGACAUCAUGGGCGGCGAGCGGCGGACGGGUGAGUAAUGCCUGGGAAUAUGCCCUGAUGUGGGGGAUAACCAUUGGAAACGAUGGCUAAUACCGCAUAAUCUCUUCGGAGCAAAGAGGGGGACCUUCGGGCCUC